UACGGGGGGGAGCAAGCGUUGUUCGGAUUUACUGGGCGUAAAGGGCGCGUAGGCGGCGUGUCAAGUCAGGCGUGAAAGCCCCGGGCUCAACCUGGGAACCGCGCUUGAGACUGGCAUGCUCGAGUUCGGGAGAGGAUGGUGGAAUUCCCAGUGUAGAGGUGAAAUUCGUAGAUAUUGGGAAGAACACCGAUGGCGAAGGCAGCCAUCUGGACCCGACACUGACGCUGAGGCGCGAAAGCGUGGGGGAGCAAAACAGG
rnacentral:rRNA from 1 species